AUUGAACGCUGGCGGCAUGCUUUACACAUGCAAGUCGAACGGUAACAGGCCUUCGGGUGCUGACGAGUGGCGAACGGGUGAGUAAUGCAUCGGAACGUGCCCAAUCGUGGGGGAUAACGUAGCGAAAGUUACGCUAAUACCGCAUAAGCCCUGAGGGGGAAAGUGGGGGACCGCAAGGCCUCACGCGAAUGGAGCGGCCGAUGUCAGAUUAGCUAGUUGGUGGGGUAAAGCCCACCAAGGCGACGAUCUGUAGCGGGUCUGAGAGGAUGAUCCGCCACACUGGAACUGAGACACGGUCCAGACUCCUACGGGAGGCAGCAGUGGGGAAUUUUGGACAAUGGGCGCAAGCCUGAUCCAGCCAUGCCGCGUGAGUGAAGAAGGCCUCGG
rnacentral:rRNA from 1 species